CAUGAGCGGGAGCCACACGCAGUGGUUCACGCCUGUAAUUCCAGCACUUUGGGAGGCUAAGGUAGGUGGAUCGCUUGAGCCCAGGAGUUUGAGACCAGCCUGGGCAACAUGGCGAAACUCCUUCUAUAAAAGGGGUUUUGUGUCUACCAAAAAUACAAAAAUUAGCUGGGAGUGGUUCUGUAUGCUGGUAGUUCCAACUACUCGGUAGGCUGAAGUGGGAGGAU
rnacentral:lncRNA from 1 species